AAACGAAUAAUAGGAAUUACUCGUAUAAUAGCGGAAAUAUGGUCCGCGAGUCUCUACCAGACUGCCGAUAACGGUCUGACUACGGGUGAUCUUUAUUUGGUU
rnacentral:ncRNA from 2 species